rnacentral:rRNA from 1 species
UACGUAGGUGGCAAGCGUUGUCCGGAUUUAUUGGGCUUAAAGGGUGCGUAGGCGGCUUUGUAAGUCAGUGGUGAAAUAUGGCAGCUCAACUGUCAGGGUGCCAUUGAUACUGCAGAGCUUGAGUACAGAUGAGGUAGGCGGAAUUGACGGUGUAGCGGUGAAAUGCUUAGAUAUCGUGAAGAACACCGAUAGCGAAGGCAGCUUACUGGGCUGUAACUGACGCUAAGGCACGAAAGUGUGGGGAUCAAACAGG